rnacentral:rRNA from 1 species
ACGGGGUGCAGCAGGCGCGAAAACUUUACAAUGCGGGAAACCGUGAUAAGGGGACACCGAGUGCCAGCAUCAUAUGCUGGCUGUCCGGAUGUGUAAAAUACAUCCGUUAGCAAGGGCCGGGCAAGACCGGUGCCAGCCGCCGCGGUAACACCGGCGGCCCGAGUGGUGAUCGUGAUUAUUGGGUCUAAAGGGUCCGUAGCCGGUUUGGUCAGUCCUCCGGGAAAUCUGAUAGCUCAACUAUUAGGCUUUCGGGGGAUACUGCCAGACUUGGAACCGGGAGAGGUAAGAGGUACUACAGGGGUAGGAGUGAAAUCUUGUAAUCCCUGUGGGACCACCUGUGGCGAAGGCGUCUUACCAGAACGGGUUCGACGGUGAGGGACGAAAGCUGGGGGCACGAACCGGAUUAGAUACCCGGGUAGUCCCAGCCGUAAACGAUGCUCGCUAGGUGUCAGGCAUGGCGCGACCGUGUCUGGUGCCGCAGGGAAGCCGUGAAGCGAGCCACCUGGGAAGUACGGCCGCAAGGCUGAAACUUAAAGGAAUUGGCGGGGGAGCAC